UUCACUUGUUUCAGCCUAUAUCGUCGUCAACAAAUGGCAAAGCCUAGCUGACAAUUGUCGGCAAUGCUAAUAAACCUCACCCUUGCGUCCCCGUUGUCUAAGUACAUAGCUUACAAUACGUAAGUGCUUAUUGCAUUGUGCGUGCGCCAUUGAAACGUGAACUGAACAGGCAAAUCAUCAUAAGUAGCAAUAAGUAAAUUGUCAAAAGGUCAAACAACGACAAAAAAAUUGAAUGUAGUGAAUGAGUAAAUGAGCUGCUGCAUAACCUAAAGUUAUGUUGCUAUAACAGAGGCGACGGCGGUGUCGAAGCCGGCGAUAUCAACUAUGGAUAGCCCUCAGGGCAGAUGACGAGACAGCAAAAGACAUCAACUAAAAAGUAACUCGGAGAACUAUGCCGUGCAACGCGCGCAUAUGCGAGUGAAUCAUGCCGUCCAUGAUAUUGUCCUUCAACGGCGUGGCCUGCUACAGUAUUGUCUCCUUUUCUCGUAUCUACAGUGAACGAUCUGCCGCAACGGGCAGUUGAAGGGACCACAUCGCAGGGAAACGUUGCAUGAACAGCAACAGUUCUUAUUGUCCUGCACAAUCACUUUGGAGAUCUUCUACACAGAACUGCACAGUCGUUGUUUCGCGCACGCCAUCUGUUGCUGCUACAGCUGCUGAGCCCUACGACGGCCCCGAUAGCAACAACAACAGUAGUCACAAUAACGACAACGGCAGCAGCGGACCCGUCCUCGCAACGGAGUGCGUGACAGCUCCUCUCAUGCGUGGAGUCCGACAAUCAGGCCCGAAUUUUUUUCAUAAUCACCAUCGUAAUUGUUGCCUAUUAUUACAACUAAGGCCUGUACAAUUGUUAUGUUAGAUGCUGUUCGUCGUGGAUGAGGGAGGUCAUGUAUAAAUGAAGAGGGAUGAAGUAAAGACAGUGAAAAUCGUUCGUGUUGCCAUUGUGUCGAUCGUUGUUGUUGCUGCUGCUAGCGGACGAUAACGGAGCUCUUCCAUCGUUGGGGAGGGUGCGGGGGUCUGGUAUAACGCCUACGACUGAUACAUUGCUGUUCGUCAUAGCGUAACGCAUAUAGUAGGUAGUAAACCGCUGAAAUGGCAUGAUAUACAUAAUGUCUGCUACGAGCCGGUGCGCUUAUCAGUAGCUGAAUUUGGCGCACGGCUAUAAACAUACACUAUUUUAUAGUUGGAUAACCAAUAAAUCUAAAUGUGUACUCUUUAACGAUGCUCGC